CAGAGGCCACGAGCGUUAGGCGGAAUCACUGGGCUUAAAGCGUGUGUAGGUGGACCGUUAAGUGCCCGCGUGAAAGCCCCCGGCUCAACCGGGGAACGGCCGGGCAUACUGGCGGUCUUGAGCGAUCCAGGGGUCAUCGGAACAAACGGUGGAGCGGUGAAAUGCGUAGAUAUCGUUUGGAACGCCGACGGUGAAAACAGAUGACUGGGGAUCCGCUGACGCUGAGACACGAAAGCCAGGGGAGCAAACGGGAUUAGAUACCCCGGUAGUCCUGGCCCUAAACGAUGUCGACUAGAUCGCGGGACCUCUGACGGUCUCGCGGUCGAAGCAAAAGUGCUAAGUCGACCGCCUGGGAAGUACGGUCGCAAGGCUAA
rnacentral:rRNA from 1 species